rnacentral:rRNA from 1 species
UAGGGAAUCUUCGGCAAUGGACGAAAGUCUGACCGAGCAACGCCGCGUGAGUGAAGAAGGUUUUCGGAUCGUAAAACUCUGUUGUUAGAGAAGAACAAGGACGUUAGUAACUGAACGUCCCCUGACGGUAUCUAACCAGAAAGCCACGGCUAACUACGUGCCAGCAGCCGCGGUAAUACGUAGGUGGCAAGCGUUGUCCGGAUUUAUUGGGCGUAAAGCGAGCGCAGGCGGUUUCUUAAGUCUGAUGUGAAAGCCCCCGGCUCAACCGGGGAGGGUCAUUGGAAACUGGGAGACUUGAGUGCAGAAGAGGAGAGUGGAAUUCCAUGUGUAGCGGUGAAAUGCGUAGAUAUAUGGAGGAACACCAGCGGCGAAGGCGGCUCUCUGGUCUGUAACUGACGCUGAGGCUCGAAAGCGUGGGGAGCAAACAGG